CAUGGAGAUAUGUGUGCUGGAAUAACUGAAUGUCUCUUCUCAUAUCUUUGGUAUUUAUUUAUAAAAUGAAGGUAAUUCCGACGGAUGAUAAUGGUCCUUAUCCUCAUCAUCUUCACACUGUGGCAAGUUCUAGCUAAGAUACGAACCCUAAUGGACACAGUUCCAGUGAAGGAGCAUUUCUUAUCAAUAUAAGUUCCUGUAAGAAACAUAUUUAAGGCAUUAAAUCAGCGAACGUCAUAUUAUUAUUACUACCGAGGACAAGUACAGAGAAAAUUGCAAUUCCAUGAGCAAAAAGGCAAUUGAUGAAUUUGACAUAAGAGAGCAAAAAAAACCUCAAUCACUAAGACGCAGUGACGCACCAAUGGCAUUUUGAAAAAAAAAAUCCAUUUAUUAGAUGCACUGGUGAUAUUAAUUUCAAAAACUUCCUAGUACAUCAAUAUUGGAUUCUAGUAGCUCAACAAACUUUCUAGAGCUUUGCACCUGGAACAAGGCAUACACCUAGGGCCUAGUGAAUGUCACUGGCCCUUCUCCUAUAGAUGUACUAGGGUUGGAGCUGGUGAGCCUUGUGUCUGAGGUGCACCUCUAAUAACUAUGUUUAAAAGUGACUUGAUUUGAUCAUGCAUACAAUAAUCUGAUUACAAAGCAUAACUUGACUAAAUAACAACUCAACUUACGCUUGCUAAAUCUCUAAGCAUCCCCAAAACAAGCAGUAGAGAAAUCUAAAUGCAGUAUAUGGUUUCACCAUACAUAUGAAAAAACCAAAUACUUUCACAGGAAGCUAUAUUUCACAACAGAACGUGAAGUAUGCAAUGCACAUCUAAUAAGAUGGCAAAUCAGGCAUUAAGAAUCCCAAGUAAAGAGCCCAACGAAAAUGUGUGACUUAAUCACAAUUUCUGAUGCCAAAGUAACAGCUGAUAAUGAAGAAAAGAUGUUGGAUUUACUCCCAUGGAAUCAACAACAAACUACGAAAUCAUACCACAAAGCCAUGAUUCAACAACAAAUUGCUGGAAAAUCAUAUGCAUUUGCACCAUAUAUUACUAUGGAAAGACAAGACGAGAUAAAAGACUACUUGUUUAUUCCACCUGCAGAUGCAUUCAACACUAAGUAGCAGAUAAUUUAGACUCCAUUUCAGCUACUAAAAUUUAACAUCCACAAAUACGAGCACCCAGAAGUGAUGCAUAUACAUAUAAAUGAAAGUAUAAUAACCGAACCUUCAAUUGCUUCUCUGGGAGGCUUGAAACCCAAUCCAAUGGA
rnacentral:misc_RNA from 1 species